GUAGUUUUAGCCUUAGGUUUAUUGCAAGAGCUUUAGAUUUGAUAUAUGGGAUUUAGGUUAGCUCUAGUGAAGGAUCCUUUGAAGAGACCUCUUCUUCUAGGCUGCAGAUAAAUGUAUAGCUGUGCCAUCUCUUAUUUGCAUUAGCUUUGAUAGUAAAGGGGAUUAUUUGUGGUCAGCUUUAAGAGAUGUUUGAUAAGGAACAGGGUUGAUUGUUAGUGGUUUCCAGCCUUUAGGCUUCACAGAUGAGUAAAACUUCUCUGCUAGUAUUAAUCCCCCAUCUUUCUAGUAUAUAUAUCCAUAUACGACAUAAGCAUAGCUAUCUCUCCAUCCCCCAUUAGGAAUGCCAUUAGAGCAAGCAUUCAUUCUAGUGGCUUUAUAUAAUGAAAAGUUGUUUGUUUUCCUCUAACCACCAGCAUAUUAAAUAGAUUUAGCUUUACUAAAUGUAUUAUCAUUGCCUAAGAGACACCUCUGUCUUCUCUCAAAGCUAGCAUCGAGAUCUGACUGACUGCAGACUCUGUGGGAAUGACUGUCUCAGUGUUCAGCAAGAUCAGUUUGUGUACCUUUGUAUCCCACUACAUAUAGGAUAAGCAAACAUAUGUCAUUGUAUCAGUAGUGAUGAACUAGUUAGAACAUAAUUUGCUUUGAUACAUGUUAUUGGGAAAGGAACAUAUAAAGAAUAUUGAAAACCAGACAAAUGUUUCCUUUUCUUAGAAUAGAAAGCAUAUUCUUCAGAACAAUGGGAGAGAGAACUGGGAAACAGAGGCAUAAGGGGAGAUUUGGUGAACAGAGAAAAUGAAGCCAUUGGAAGUGCUAUCAGAGAAUCCACUGGCUGGCUUUGAUUAUUCAAAAUGACCCAAUGCAAAUAUAAUUUGUAUUCUGCAAAAAUAAGAAUUGUUUGAUUUUUUUUUCAAUGACACUCAACUUACCAUUGUUACAGAAUUCACCGGUUGAUAAAAUCUGAAAAAUAGUUUAAGAAAAAAAAAACCUUCUAAAAUUGAUUCUUCAAGGACAUUACAAAUUAUGAAACUCAGGAGACAGUGUUCUAUUUGGCUUUAUCACGAAGAAACACCUCUUAUAAGUGGGUCUCUUGUACUUUCUCAAUAUCUCCCUGCCUGGAGACGGGCUGGCAGCCUUCCCAGGAACCAUCUCAUAGAUAGCCACAAUGAUUUGGCAAGAAGAUAAUAUCUUUCUAGUCAUUAUGAAAUACUUUUGAAUAAAAGAAGCAAUUGCUGUUCAGAUCAGCAGUACUGUGCAUAUUAAGUGCUUCUAUAGAAAAAUAUAAUUUGAAAUCUUAUUUGGACAGCUGAGCAGACUGAAGAUCCUGUUUCUUUUUACUUAUCACAUUCAAUUUUGGUAUUAGCUCCCUGUGACUUCAUUAAGAUUUCGAUUAUCUCUUUGGAAUAUGAGCCUGGCAGAUAAGUGGGGAGAGUGUCAUUUCAGGGUACUCAGAAAGAAGGCCAUGUACAAUUAAAUUUCACU
rnacentral:lncRNA from 1 species